rnacentral:misc_RNA from 1 species
CCCAAAGUCGGUGCCUUUUUCUUUAUAUAUAAAAGAAUAGUGUAAUUAAAAUCAAUAGAAGAUUUUAUAAAAAAUAAAAUAAGAAGCUUUGUAAAGAAUUCAAUCUAUAUAAAGGAAGCGGACUAAUUAGGCAAAUGUCUCAAUAGAAUAAAAUCUAAUGUGUAUAUAUAACAAAUUUAAUUUUGUGAAUGUCACGUCUUCAUAAACUCUCGCAUGCUUCAAAUCAACUUAUAUUCUUUCCCUUAAACGUCAACCAGCUUCAAUGCAACAAGUUGUCUCCCAGAAAGCUAAAAAAUUGUGCAAUGGGUAAUCUCCACUAAGCAAACCCUGUAAUCUCCCAUGAGUCUGCUUCUAACGUUACUCUGGUUCGAGCCUUUUUUAUAUGUAGCAUACACAAAACAAAUAAUUCACAUCGCCAAGCUCAAAGCUCAUCAGACCUUACCAGUAAAAUACGACAAUGCCAUUAAUCAAUUGUCAGAACAGCUGGUCACUGGAGCAUAUGAAUAUUGAAUACCAAUUUCAAUUCAAAAAACUACUAAUUUGAAUAUGUGAAUUGCUCCAACAAGUAGCUAAAUACCCACACAAAUUUGAAAAUUAAAAAAAAAAUGAUAAUAAGAAUCCAAACUUAACAAAAAUUGAGCAAAUAAAAUAGUGAUAAAAUCCCUAUUAUUUUCCCAACAGAGCUUCCAAUCAUUUCUGCGUUUGAACUGAGCUUUAUACCCUUCUUGGGGUUGACCAGAGUGCCUUGAUUACUGAUAAUCACAUUGGCUCCGACCAAGAUCCUAUGCCUCUUAGUUUGCCAUGCCAUAAUCUUGUACCUCAC